rnacentral:rRNA from 1 species
UACGGAGGGUGCAAGCGUUGUCCGGAAUUAUUGGGCGUAAAGAGCUCGUAGGCGGUUUGUCGCGUCUGCUGUGAAAACUCGGGGCUUAACUUCGGGACUGCAGUGGGUACGGGCAGACUAGAGUGCGGUAGGGGAGAUUGGAAUUCCUGGUGUAGCGGUGGAAUGCGCAGAUAUCAGGAGGAACACCGAUGGCGAAGGCAGAUCUCUGGGCCGUAACUGACGCUGAGGAGCGAAAGCAUGGGGAGCGGACAGG